GUAAAUUACCGGUAAAAAACGCGUCAAUGACCAAGCCUGUUUUACCAUACCGGUCAGAAAAAUGCUGAUCUCUGAUUGGUUAAUACAUGUCCAAUCACAGUUUAGAAUUCCCAACGGCAUACAACUGUUUAUUUGUUCUAUCAGAUAAGGAUUUUCAUUGAGAACUUGGUGCAAUGGGGGAGAACAAAUCAAUAUAUAAACAUUUCUCUGCAUUACCUCUGCAACCUAACCAAAAAUUAAAAUCGUAUUCAUGUAACUAUUGCAAGAAAAAGUAUGCAGAAAACAUUACUCGCAUGCGAAAACAUCUUUAUAAAGAGUGUAGAAGUUGUCCUCAAGACUUACGGAAACUUUUAAAACCAUGUAAACCUCGUAAACGAAAUAAUUCUCAUCUAAACAGCACAGACGACUCAUUUACUAUUGAAGAUUUGAAUGAAGCAGACAAUAGAGCAAGUACUUCAAUGAUUUCAAAUGAAAAUUUACCAAAUAAUAUAAGUGUUUGUAGCAAUAACUAUAAAAAAAAUACAAUCGAUAGUUUUUGUGAUAAAAUGUCAAAAAAAGAUGAAGAUUCUCUACAAGAACUACUUGCAGAAGCGAUUUAUGCAUCUGGUACACCAUUAUGUAUAACAGAAAAUCCAUAUUGGCUAAAAUUUUUUAACGCAUUACGGCCUUCAUUUAAUUUGCCAUCAAGAAAUCAAAUAUCAAAUAAUCUUUUAGAUUCAGUAUUCGUUAGAACACAAAAUAUGGUUAAUGAAAAAAUUGAAUCUGCUACUACUGUUGGAGUGCAAUGUGACGCAUGGUCUAAUAUUCGCAAAGAAGGAAUCAUCAAUUUUAUUGUAACAACCCCAGCGCCAGUUUUUUUCAAAACAUUUCCAACUGGAACCGAAUCACAAACUGCCUUAUAUAUUUCUGAAAAAAUAGGAAGUGUUAUUGAUGCUUUGGGAAUUAAAAAAGUUAUCGGAAUUUGUACAGAUAAUUGUGCUGCAAUGAAAAGUGCUUGGACUUUGAUAGAUCAAAAGUAUAAUGUCGACAAAUUGUAUUGUUAUGGUUGUGCUGCUCACAUUCUUAACCUACUCAUGAAAGAUAUUGGUAGUCAAGCAACUGUUGAAACUUUGGUGACAAGUGCAACAGCUAUUGUAAAAGGAAUAAAAGAAGUACAAAUAAUGUCAGCGAUUUUCAAAGAAAUUCAAUCUCAAGAUGAACGUAGAGUAUUUAUUACCUUAAAAUUACCAGCUAAGACAAGAUUUGGAUCUACUAUAAUUAUGAUUGACAGUCUUUGUGUUAAUAAGCAUAAUCUUCAGGCUUUAGCAAUUUCUUCAAAGGCUAUUACAUUAUGGAAACCUGCUUCUCGUGCUCUUGUACUAAAUGAAGAAUUUUGGAAUAAUCUUCAACAAAUUCUUCAAUUGAUGAAACCGAUUGUAAAGUGGAUAAAUAUUUUAGAGGGUGAUAACCCUUUAAUAAAUAAAGUACCUGAAUGUUUUUAUGAUUUAUAUAAUCAUUUUAAUAAUGCAUUUAAUAAUAUACUUGUUUAGAAAAUCGUAAAACUAUGGCUCUACGGCCCAUACAUUAUGCAGCUAACUUACUUGAUCCUCAAUUAAAAGGAAAAAAUUUAAAUAGAUUUAACAGAUUAUGUGUCAGAAUCAAGUAUGUGGAGUUACGACUACGUUAAGCGAGCAAGUAUAAUCACUUCAGCAUGUCAAUGGUGGCAAAGUAUUUGCCAAAAAUCUUCGUUGAGCAAAAUAGCUGUGGCUAUAUUGACUUUACCUGCAACAUCAGCUGCAACCGAGCGUUCCUUUAGUACACAAGGAUGGAUUCAUUCAUCUAAAAGAAAUAAGUUAAGUAUCGAUAGAGCUGGAAAAAUAACAUACAUUGCAAGAAAUUUAAAAUUACUUAAUCCUUCACUAAAAAAUACAGAAGAAGAAUGGGAAGAAGAUGAGGAAAGUAAUAAAGGAGAGGAUGAAAUAAGUGAAAUUUGUGCUGAGCAUGAAGAAGUUGAAUUUUUAGAAGAAGAAUUUACUCAAGACUAAUUAGUGAUGUUGAUGGAAUUGAAUCAGUAUUAGACUUGUUAUUUCCUAAUGAAAUAUGUCAAUUAUUA
rnacentral:misc_RNA from 1 species